UUUGUACUCCCUCUGUCCCGAAUUACUUGUCGCAGAAAUAAAUGUAUCUAGAACUAAAAAAUGUCUAGAUACAUCCAUUUCUACGACAAGUAAUUCCGAACGGAGGGAGUAAAAC
rnacentral:pre_miRNA from 1 species